rnacentral:rRNA from 1 species
AGAGUUUGAUCAUGGCUCAGGAUGAACGCUAGCGGCAGGCCUAAUACAUGCAAGUCGAGGGGCAGCGGGGUAGCAAUACUGCCGGCGACCGGCGCACGGGUGCGUAACACGUAUGCAACCUACCUUAAACUGGGAGAUAGCCCGGGGAAACUCGGAUUAAUACCCCGUAAUACAUUUGGAACACAUGUUUUGAUUGUUAAAGAUUUAUCGGUUUAAGAUGGGCAUGCGUUCGAUUAGCUAGUUGGUGAGGUAAUGGCUCACCAAGGCUACGAUCGAUAGGGGGUCUGAGAGGAUGAUCCCCCACACUGGUACUGAGAUACGGACCAGACUCCUACGGGAGGCAGCAGUAGGGAAUAUUGGUCAAUGGAGGCAACUCUGAACCAGCCAUGCCGCGUGUAGGAAGAAGGCGUUCUGCGUUGUAAACUACUUUUGAUUGGGAACAAAUGACUCUUGCGAGAGUAGCUGAGUGUACCAAUAGAAUAAGCCACGGCUAACUACGUGCCAGCAGCCGCGGUAAUACGUAGGUGGCAAGCGUUGUCCGGAUUUAUUGGGUUUAAAGGGUGCGUAGGCGGCUUAAUAAGUCAGUGGUGAAAGCCGAUCGCUUAACGAUCGAACUGCCAUUGAUACUGCUAGGCUUGAGUAUAGUUGAGGUAGGCGGAAUUGACAGUGUAGCGGUGAAAUGCAUAGAUAUUGUCAAGAACACCAAUUGCGAAGGCAGCUUACUAAAGUAUAACUGACGCUGAGGCACGAAAGUGCGGGGAUCAAACAGGAUUAGAUACCCUGGUAGUCCGCACCGUAAACGAUGAUCACUCGCUGUGUGCGAUAAACAGUACGCGGCCCAGCGAAAGCGAUAAGUGAUCCACCUGGGGAGUA